CCUACGGGAUGCAGCAGUGGGGAAUAUUGGACAAUGGGCGAAAGCCUGAUCCAGCCAUGCCGCGUGUGUGAAGAAGGCCUUCGGGUUGUAAAGCACUUUCAGUGGGGAAGAAAGCCUUGGGGCUAAUACCCUCGAGGAAGGACAUCACCCACAGAAGAAGCACCGGCUAACUCCGUGCCAGCAGCCGCGGUAAUACGGAGGGUGCGAGCGUUAAUCGGAAUUACUGGGCGUAAAGCGCGCGUAGGCGGUCUGAUAAGCCGGUUGUGAAAGCCCCGGGCUCAACCUGGGAACGGCAUCCGGAACUGUCAGGCUAGAGUGCAGGAGAGGAAGGUAGAAUUCCAGGUGUAGCGGUGAAAUGCGUAGAGAUCGGGAGGAAUACCAGUGGCGAAGGCGGCCUUCUAGACUGACACUGACGCUGAGGUGCGAAAGCGUGGGUAGCAAACAGGAUUAGAUACCCCGGUAGUC
rnacentral:rRNA from 1 species